CCUACGGGAGGCAGCAGUGAGGAAUAUUGGUCAAUGGGCGUAAGCAUGAACCAGCCAAGUCGCGUGAGGGCUGAAGGUUCUAUGGAUCGUACACCUCUUUUAUAAGGGCAUAAAGUGUGGGACGUGUCCUAUUUUGUAUGUACCUUAUGAAUAAGGAUCGGCUAAGUCCGUGCCAGCAGCCACGGUAAUACGGAGGAUGCGAGCGUUAUCCGGAUUGACUGGGUUUAAAGGGUGCGUCGGCGGCCUUUUAAGUCAGCGGUGAAAGUCUGUGGCUCAACCAUAGAAUUGCCGUUGAAACUGGGGGGCUUGAGUAUGUUUGAGGCAGGCGGAAUGCGAGGUGUAGCUGUGAAAUGCUUAGAUAUCACGCAGAACCCCGAUUGCGAAGGCGGCCUGCCAAGCCAUGACUGACGCUGAUGCACGAAAGCGUGGGGAUCAAACAGGAUUAGAUACCCCUGUAGUC
rnacentral:rRNA from 1 species